GCUUCGGCCUUAGUGGCGCACGGGUGCGUAACGCGUGGGAACCUGCCCCUCGGUUCGGAAUAACAGUUAGAAAUGACUGCUAAUACCGGAUGAUGACUUCGGUCCAAAGAUUUAUCGCCGAGGGAUGGGCCCGCGUAGGAUUAGCUUGUUGGUGGGGUAAAGGCCUACCAAGGCGACGAUCCUUAGCUGGUCUGAGAGGAUGAUCAGCCACACUGGGACUGAGACACGGCCCAGACUCCUACGGGAGGCAGCAGUGGGGAAUAUUGGACAAUGGGCGAAAGCCUGAUCCAGCAAUGCCGCGUGAGUGAUGAAGGCCUUAGGG
rnacentral:rRNA from 1 species